CCUUGUGGAGGAGGACGCCGAAGGUGGGGCUAAUGACUGGGGUGAAGUCGUAACAAGGUAGCCGUACCGGAAGGUGCGGCUGGAUCACCUCCUAACAGGGAGACAACAAAAUGUUUAAUAUUAUUAUUUUGUCACCUUAGGUCGAUCGGUAUCUCACGUUCUUAAUUUAUUAAGAAUUUCAUUUCCUAAGUUUUUCUAGGUCACACCCAUUAUUUUUCCUGGGCCAUUAGCUCAGGUGGUUAGAGCGCACCCCUGAUAAGGGUGAGGUCCCUGGUUCAAGUCCAGGAUGGCCCAUAUCUCUAUGUUGGGGGUAUAGCUCAGUUGGUAGAGCGCCUGCUUUGCAAGCAGGAUGUCAGCGGUUCGAGUCCGCUUACCUCCACUGAUUACCACCUCUUCCAUAACCGGUAGUAAAGGAAAUGUUUUGAGUUGUGAUCAAAUUCUGAAAGAAUCUAGCUUCCUAAUGAAAUCAUUAAGAUGCUGGACUCAUUGAAUUAAUUUCAUUGUUUUCAGAGAACCUUGACAACUGCAUAGAUUAUUUUUAAAGACAAUAAGCAUCUUUAAUGAUGCAGAUUUAUUAUUUGUGCGAAUGCAUUAAUAACAAUUCUAUUAAGCUGAUGCUUCAAUUUUUUGAAGUUAUUGGUCAAGCUACAAAGGGCUCACGGAGG
rnacentral:misc_RNA from 1 species